GACGGACGCUGGCGGCGUGCCUAAUACAUGCAAGUCGAACGCAUUUUCUUUCACCGUAGCUUGCUACACCGAAAGAAAAUGAGUGGCGAACGGGUGAGUAACACGUGGGUAACCUGCCCAUCAGCGGGGGAUAACACUUGGAAACAGGUGCUAAUACCGCAUAAUUCCAUUUACCGCAUGGUAAAUGGAUGAAAGGCGCUUUUGCGUCACUGAUGGAUGGACCCGCGGUGCAUUAGCUAGUUGGUGGGGUAACGGCCUACCAAGGCUGCGAUGCAUAGCCGACCUGAGAGGGUGAUCGGCCACACUGGGACUGAGACACGGCCCAGACUCCUACGGGAGGCAGCAGUAGGGAAUCUUCGGCAAUGGACGCAAGUCUGACCGAGCAACGCCGCGUGAUUGAAGAAGGUUUUCGGAUCGUAAAACUCUGUUGUUAGAGAAGAACAAGGAUGAGAGUGGAAAGUUCAUCCCUUGACGGUAUCUAACCAGAAAGCCACGGCUAACUACGUG
rnacentral:rRNA from 1 species